rnacentral:rRNA from 1 species
CUAUACAUGCAGUCGAGCGGACAGAUGGGAGCUUGCUCCCUGAUGUUAGCGGCGGACGGGUGAGUAACACGUGGGUAACCUGCCUGUAAGACUGGGAUAACUCCGGGAAACCGGGGCUAAUACCGGAUGCUUGUUUGAACCGCAUGGUUCAGACAUAAAAGGUGGCUUCGGCUACCACUUACAGAUGGACCCGCGGCGCAUUAGCUAGUUGGUGAGGUAACGGCUCACCAAGGCAACGAUGCGUAGCCGACCUGAGAGGGUGAUCGGCCACACUGGGACUGAGACACGGCCCAGACUCCUACGGGAGGCAGCAGUAGGGAAUCUUCCGCAAUGGACGAAAGUCUGACGGAGCAACGCCGCGUGAGUGAUGAAGGUUUUCGGAUCGUAAAGCUCUGUUGUUAGGGAAGAACAAGUGCCGUUCAAAUAGGGCGGCACCUUGACGGUACCUAACCAGAAAGCCACGGCUAACUACGUGCCAGCAGCCGCGGUAAUACGUAGGUGGCAAGCGUUGUCCGGAAUUAUUGGGCGUAAAGGGCUCGCAGGCGGUUUCUUAAGUCUGAUGUGAAAGCCCCCGGCUCAACCGGGGAGGGUCAUUGGAAACUGGGGAACUUGAGUGCAGAAGAGGAGAGUGGAAUUCCACGUGUAGCGGUGAAAUGCGUAGAGAUGUGGAGGAACACCAGUGGCGAAGGCGACUCUCUGGUCUGUAACUGACGCUGAGGAGCGAAAGCGUGGGGAGCGAACAGGAUUAGAUACCCUGGUAGUCCACGCCGUAAACGAUGAGUGCUAAGUGUUAGGGGGGUUUCCGCCCCUUAGUGCUGCAGCUAACGCAUUAAGCACUCCGCCUGGGGAGUACGGUCGCAAGACUGAAACUCAAAGGAAUUGACGGGGGGCCCGCACAAGCGGUGGAGCAUGUGGUUUAAUUUCGAAGCAACGCGAAGAACCUUACCAGGUCUUGGACAUCCUCUGACAUCCUAGAGAUAGGACGUCCCCUUUCGGGGGCAGAGUGACAGGUGGUGCAUGGGUUGUCGUCAGCUCGUGUCGUGAGAUGUUGGGUUUAGUCCCGCAACGGAGCGCAACCCUUGA